UUGCGGUGUAAAAAUGAGCGUGCGUCCUAUUAGCUAGUUGGGGAGGUAAUGGCUCACCAAGGCUACGAUGGGUAGGGGUUCUUAGUGGAAGGUCCCCCACACUGGCACUGAGAUACGGGCCAGACUCCUACGGGAGGCAGCAGUAGGGAAUAUUGGUCAAUGGGCGAAAGCCUGAACCAGCCAUGCCGCGUGCAGGAUGAAGGCUCUCUGAGUUGUAAACUGCUUUUGUACAGGGGCAAAAAAAUCCCUGCGGGGGUUCUUGAGAGUACUGUAAGAAUAAGCACCGGCUAAUUCCGUGCCAGCAGCCGCGGUAAUACGGGAGGUGCAAGCGUUAUCCGGUUUUAUUGGGUUUAAAGGGUGCGUAGGCGGCUUAUUAAGUCAGUUGUGAAAUCCUAGUGCUUAACGCUAGAACUGCGAUUGAUACUAUUAGGCUUGGUUUAAGAAUAGGUA
rnacentral:rRNA from 1 species